rnacentral:rRNA from 1 species
UUGACAUGUCCGGAAUCCCGAAGAGAUUUGGGAGUGCUCGCAAGAGAACCGGACACAGGUGCUGCAUGGCUGUCGUCAGCUCGUGUCGUGAGAUGUUGGGUUAAGUCCCGCAACGAGCGCAACCCUUGUCAUUAGUUGCCAUCAUUUGGUUGGGCACUCUAAUGAGCCUGCCGGUGACAACCGGAGGAAGGUGGGGAUGACGUCAAGUCCUCAUCGGCCCUUAUGGGUAGGGCUUCACACGUCAUACAAUGGUCGGUACAGAGGGUUGCCCAACCCGCGAGGGGGAGCUAAUCCCACAAAGCCGAUCGUAGUCCGGAUCGCAGUCUGCAACUCGACUGCGUGAAGUCGGAAUCGCUAGUAAUCGUGGAUCAGCAUGUCACGGUGAAUACGUUCCCGGGCCUU